rnacentral:rRNA from 1 species
AGUGAACGCUGGCGGUAGGCCUAACACAUGCAAGUCGAACGGCAGCACAGUAAGAGCUUGCUCUUACGGGUGGCGGGUGGCGGACGGGUGAGGAAUACAUCGGAAUCUACUUUUUCGUGGGGGAUAACGUAGGGAAACUUACGCUAAUACCGCAUACGACCUACGGGUGAAAGCAGGGGAUCUUCGGACCUUGCGCGAUUGAAUGAGCCGAUGUCGGAUUAGCUAGUUGGCGGGGUAAAGGCCCACCAAGGCGACGAUCCGUAGCUGGUCUGAGAGGAUGAUCAGCCACACUGGAACUGAGACACGGUCCAGACUCCUACGGGAGGCAGCAGUGGGGAAUAUUGGACAAUGGGCGCAAGCCUGAUCCAGCCAGACCGCGUGGGUGAAGAAGGCCUUCGGGUUGUAAAGCCCUUUUGUUGGGAAAGAAAAGCAGCAGGUUAAUACCCCGCUGUUCUGACGGUACCCAAAGAAUAAGCACCGGCUAACUUCGUG